rnacentral:lncRNA from 1 species
CUGUCAAUUAAUUUAUUCUGUAAAAGAAUAUCGGAGAGUAUCCAAUCUAUACACAUCAUAAACGGUGUAAAAAUGUUUCAUGGAAAAAACAAAAUAAAAAAAGCAAAGACAAAGACAAAUACCAACACCAUCACCACAGUGAUAACAGAUGAUGCUGAUUCAAUAUCUGCGACCAAUUCUAUCCAAAUACUUGGAAAGCUGGACUCUACAACCUAUACUCUACAACAAAUACCCGGGUAUUCU